AAAUUGAAGAGUUUGAUCAUGGCUCAGAUUGAACGCUGGCGGCAGGCCUAACACAUGCAAGUCGAACGGUAACAGGAAUCAGCUUGCUGAUUUGCUGACGAGUGGCGGACGGGUGAGUAAUGUCUGGGAAGCUGCCUGAUGGAGGGGGAUAACUACUGGAAACGGUAGCUAAUACCGCAUAACGUCGCAAGACCAAAGAGGGGGACCUUCGGGCCUCUUGCCAUCGGAUGUGCCCAGAUGGGAUUAGCUAGUAGGUGGGGUAACGGCUCACCUAGGCGACGAUCCCUAGCUGGUCUGAGAGGAUGACCAGCCACACUGGAACUGAGACACGGUCCAGACUCCUACGGGAGGCAGCAGUGGGGAAUAUUGCACAAUGGGCGCAAGCCUGAUGCAGCCAUGCCGCGUGUAUGAAGAAGGCCUUCGGGUUGUAAAGUACUUUCAGCGGGGAGGAAGGGAGUAAAGUUAAUACCUUUGCUCAUUGACGUUACCCGCAGAAGAAGCACCGGCUAACUCCGUGCCAGCAGCCGCGGUAAUACGGAGGGUGCAAGCGUUAAUCGGAAUUACUGGGCGUAAAGCGCACGCAGGCGGUUUGUUAAGUCAGAUGUGAAAUCCCCGGGCUCAACCUGGGAACUGCAUCUGAUACUGGCAAGCUUGAGUCUCGUAGAGGGGGGUAGAAUUCCAGGUGUAGCGGUGAAAUGCGUAGAGAUCUGGAGGAAUACCGGUGGCGAAGGCGGCCCCCUGGACGAAGACUGACGCUCAGGUGCGAAAGCGUGGGGAGCAAACAGGAUUAGAUACCCUGGUAGUCCACGCCGUAAACGAUGUCGACUUGGAGGUUGUGCCCUUGAGGCGUGGCUUCCGGAGCUAACGCGUUAAGUCGACCGCCUGGGGAGUACGGCCGCAAGGUUAAAACUCAAAUGAAUUGACGGGGGCCCGCACAAGCGGUGGAGCAUGUGGUUUAAUUCGAUGCAACGCGAAGAACCUUACCUGGUCUUGACAUCCACGGAAGUUUUCAGAGAUGAGAAUGUGCCUUCGGGAACCGUGAGACAGGUGCUGCAUGGCUGUCGUCAGCUCGUGUUGUGAAAUGUUGGGUUAAGUCCCGCAACGAGCGCAACCCUUAUCCUUUGUUGCCAGCGGUCCGGCCGGGAACUCAAAGGAGACUGCCAGUGAUAAACUGGAGGAAGGUGGGGAUGACGUCAAGUCAUCAUGGCCCUUACGACCAGGGCUACACACGUGCUACAAUGGCGCAUACAAAGAGAAGCGACCUCGCGAGAGCAAGCGGACCUCAUAAAGUGCGUCGUAGUCCGGAUUGGAGUCUGCAACUCGACUCCAUGAAGUCGGAAUCGCUAGUAAUCGUGGAUCAGAAUGCCACGGUGAAUACGUUCCCGGGCCUUGUACACACCGCCCGUCACACCAUGGGAGUGGGUUGCAAAAGAAGUAGGUAGCUUAACCUUCGGGAGGGCGCUUACCACUUUGUGAUUCAUGACUGGGGUGAAGUCGUAACAAGGUAACCGUAGGGGAACCUGCGGUUGGAUCACCUCCUUACCUUAAAGAA
rnacentral:rRNA from 1 species